rnacentral:lncRNA from 1 species
ACCCACAAUGAAACAAAUUCUCAUUUUAUGACGUCUUUUCCCCCGUAGGAGUCCGAACAAUGUUUGGGGGCUUGGCACGCAUGAAGAUAAAAGAAUUUUAUUUUAAAUGCGAUACAUGUCAGGAUUAGACAGCGCUUCCUUUCAGCUAAACUACUGAGCGAAUCUUCAUUUCCUGUUUCACUGCUUCCCCCGAAAGAAACUUUUCUUUUUCUUUCUUUCUUUCUUUUUUUUUUUUUUUCCCCUUUUCUUUCUUCCCCCCAGCAAAGAGUCGGAGAGAAAAGUGCUGGGCACAGAGCUCCCCACGCGGCCCCCGGAAAGCAGACUCAGCUCCUGAUCGUUGUCAAUCUUUGGGCAAUGCGGGGCCUCGCAACGGCUCGGGUGUAGUGUGAUUUGGGGAGGCGGCAGCCUAGUUUUGGCUACAGUGGGCGCCUGAGCAGAGCCGGGGCGAGUUGUAAACCUUAGUGAAAGGUGCUUGUCCCCAUCAAAACGUUUGGAAAGAACCGUGCGCCCCGUGCUGCCGGGCGCCUCCGCCGCGCACAGCCGCUGCCCCUGCCCCGGGACGCGUCGGGCCGCCGGGUCACCGGCUUUCCGAAAGGGACCCGGCAGAGACAAAGUGCCUUCGCUGCUGCGAUCGCGGGAAUCGGAGGAGCCGGGCGAGAAAGCCCGAAAAGGGAGGCGGUUAUUUAUGACCGGCGAGUUGGAGUCUGGCACCAUAUGGUGGGGUUUGUCAGGCCCGGCCGCUUCCCCGGUCGCCCCACCCAGCGUCCCGCAAACAGUUCCUGGUUGACAACGUCGCCUUAGCAGCCCCCGUCUUCGCUUCCAGCCCCUCUCGUAUAUUUUCUCCAGACGAAGUUGAUAAAAGACGGACUUUAAAAAAUUACUCGCAAUUAGACCCAAAAAAGUCAUUUGUGAUCUUUGGGUAUUAGCACUUAACGGCCAGUGGCCUCUCCUUUCCCUCUGGAGGAGGUCGGGGUGGGGGCGACUGGGACCAGGUGGAAGGUAGUGUAGGGUUAAGAAGCGUCAGACCUCGGAGAAGGGCCUCACUUCCUCUUCGUUUUGUCGCCCUUUGUGUUACAUACGGGGGCAAGCAAGGUCUGCCAAUCACUACCAUUUCUCUUUCUUGUUCUAUAAAGACAGGGUCGUCACAGCAACAGGGACAUGACAGGCUGGUAUCUCUCUCGAGCUCCAGGGGGCCCCUAAUAGGAUUGAAGCGAAAGAUCAAGCGAAUGGUUUCCUAUUUUAGGCCCGUAAUAACUCCCAACUGCUUGCAUAUACA